GUAAGGACAUGUGAAAGUGGUUUUUUCUUGAUCAUUAGGGUGAAUUGGUAUUUGAAAGAAACCACUAUAUCCAUCAAGAAAGCAAUAGUAUGGAUGAUUAGUUAAACGUUCAAGCAUAUGGUCAAUGAAUGGUAAAGGAAAAUGAUCUUUCCUAGAUGCAGCAUUUAACUUCCUAUAAUCAAUGCACAUUCUAUGACCAGUUAUAGUUCUAGUAGGGAUCAGUUCAUCCUUUUCAUUUUUGACAACAGUCAUUCCACCCUUUUUAGGGACGCAAUGCACUGGAGAAACCCAAGUACUAUCAGAGAUAGGGUAGAUGACACCAGCAUCAAGAAGUUUCAAAAUUUCUUUUUUCACUACUUCUUUCAAAUUGGGAUUUAACCUCCUCUGUGGUUCAAUGCUAGAAUAGGAUUCGUUUUCAAGGUGGAUCCUAUGGUUGCAUAAACUAGGUGAAAUUCCCUUAAUGUCGGAUAAUGAAUAACCAAUUGCUCUCCUAUACUUUCUAAGCUCAGAUAAUAGCAGGUUCACUUCAUCAUCAUUUAACUCAGCAUUAAUGAUCACAUGGUAAGUAGAGUUUGGACCAAGGAAUGCGUACCUUAGACCUUUAGGAAGUGGUUUGAGAUCAACCUUCGGUGCCUUGAGUUCAGACCAGUCAUUUGAAGUUGGAAUGAUCGGCUCCCCAGAUUCGUUGGCAGACAAGGUCGAGUGGCUGGUCGAGUAUGUCCUCGAGAGUGCAGGUUGAACUCGUGUUGACCCUUCUUCGCUCAUUACCAUUACCUCCGUUGCUGGUCCAUUCAAUUCCUCAAAGGGUUCUGAUUCUUCCAUCGCUUUAUGGGAGUCUAACAGCUUCUGGUAUCCCAAUGUUUACAAAUGCAGAAACCCAUCUUCACCACUUUUGGUUAAAGCACUGUUAAGAUGAUCUUCUUCUGCCAGCUCUUCCAGUAAUUCAUCAGCUAACUGAUCUAUUUCUUCGAUCCAAAAGAGUUGCCCUUCUAUGGUAGGCUUCUUCAUCGCGUCCUUGACAUCAAAGGUCAUCCUAAAGUCUUUGCCAAGGUUUAGAUCAAUCUUCCCUUUCUUGACAUCAAUCAUAGCUCCUACAGUUGCUAAGAAAGGUCUCCCUAGAAUCAAAGGGUCCUUGGGCUCUUCACCCAUCUCCAGGACUACAAAGUCAGUUGGUAUCUCCACAGCUCCGAUCCUGAUUGGGAGGUUUUCGAGCAAAUCAUGAGGGAUCCUUACUGAUCUGUCAGCUAGAAUGAGAGAUAUAUUGCAGGAUUUGUAUUGAGUGAACCCCAAUCUUUUGGCGACAGAGAGCGGCAUGAGACAGACUGAAGCUCCUAAAUCACAUAGGCAUCUGUUGAAAGCCAAUGGACCUAAAGAGCAUGGUAGAGUGAAUGAACCAGGAUCACUAAGCUUCUUAGGAAUGAUCUUCUUCUGUAUGAUAACACUGCAUUCAUGACUCAAUACCACCAUCCCUUGCACUUCUUCAAUUCUCUCCACGAUCAAGUCUGUUAGAAACUUAUGAGAGUCUGGGAUUAGCGCUAGAGCGUCAACAAGAGGUAUCCGCAACUCAACCUCCUUGAUGUUCUUGGCAAAUAUAGCUCUAUACUUGUCUGCUAACGCUUUCUUGUGACGGCCAGGAAAUGGAAGCUGUGGUUUGUAAGGAGGAGGGACAAAGACCUUUUCUUUGUUCUUGACGGCAACUGGUUUUGGAGCAGUUGAUGAUGUUGAUGGGAAGAUAGGUCGAGUUGUUGGUCGAGUAACAUGGUCGAGUGGCAGCUCGAGUGGUUGCUCGAGUGGUUGCUCGAGUGGUUGCUCGAGUGGUUUUUCAGCUUGAUCCUCCCCAUCUUGACCUUCACUGUCCUCAGUGACUGUUUUUGGUUCCUCCCUAGUUGGAAGUUCUGGAAAUUUCCAUUGCUGGCGGCAUCCAGAAGCAUUCUGAUGCGUGGUAGGACUCCUCUGUAGAGAGUGCUGAGUAGAGAGGCUUUAGUAAAGCCAUGAUGAGGGCAUUGGUUGGUGUAACCCUUGAAACGCUCCCAUGCUUCACAGAAGCUUUCACCAGUCUUCUGUGAGAAACCAGAAAUCUCAUUUCUGAGUCUUGCCGUUCUGGCAUUGGAGAAGAACUUUGAUAGAAAAGCCUUCUUACAAUCAUCCCAGGUGGUGAUUGAGUCAUGGAGCAGAUUCUUCUCCCAGAUGUGUGAUUUGUCGCCCAAGGAGAAUGGAAACAAACGGAGCUUGAAUCCGUCUUCACUGACACCAUUGAUCUUUGUCAGGUUGCAGAGCCUAUCGAAUUCAUCAAGGUGGUCGAGUGGAUCCUCCAUUGGCAGACCAUGGAAUUUGUUCCCCUGAAUCAUCGAGAUGAGACCACUCUUAAUCUCGAAGUUGUUGUUCAGGAUAGCAGGAGGUGCAAUUCCUUUCCUCUGACGGUGAUCACGUGGUGCAUCUCCAGCACUAAUGUUGGCAGGGCCAUUCAAUCAGAUAAAGAAUUCCCGAGGAUGGGGUAAUUGAGUAGUUUCGUUUCCUCAGUUUACAGGUGAUUGACAUGCUCAAUAAAUUGACCCUAGACAACAAGUUCAUUAACCAAAUCUAAGUGCCACCGCAACAGAGACCCUCAAGUUAACCUAGUCCCAGACUCAAUCACCAUUGACGAGAGCUAACCUAACAGGCAUUACGAAUCAACAAGUUAAAGCCAAAACGCUCCCUGCAACCAAUACCUUGGUACAGGGUCACGAAUCUCUGGAAUUAGUGGUUCAGACAUUUCAUCGAACACCUUUUGGGCGCAGAAAUGUCUGGGCUCAAAUUCUAGUUGAUUAGAAAGUAAUAGGCAUUAAGAACAACUAAUCCAGAAGGGAUCUAUCAAUCAAUACUCAAUCACCUAGCAUACUGAGAAUUCUAGACUACUCUAACCUAUCCUCAGAAACCUAUUCACUACUUAGACAUCAUAACAGAAAGCAUUAACGUUGAACAAGUUGAAAACAUGAUAACAACAGUGUAACAGCAGGAUGAUAACAGAAUGAACAACAGUAAACAAAAUCAAGAACAAAUGCUGAAUACUGAAUACUGAAUAGAUAAAGAGAAAUCUGGAUUACAAAAGGUCUAGAACACAGGGUCUGCGGAAUAAAACUAGAUAAAAACUUGUCUGCGAAAAUGUGAAGUACAUGCUACUUAUAGCCAAAUAUUUCGAAACCCUAAUACUCAAAACGACGAAGUAUUGGGACGGAUUAAGAAUUGUACUCGUCCCAAGUGGUCGAGUGGGAGGUCGAGUGAAUAGCUGGAGUCUUCUUUUCUUCCUUGUGCUCGAGUGUCUGGUUGAGUGCGGAAUGAAACAGACUCUGAAGCUUGCCAUCGAGGGUGUAGUCGAGUGGUGGUGAAGGUGAUACUCGACUUCCAGGUAGAGUGAUGAGGUCGAGUGAUGAUCAGGUAAUGGUGGUGAAAACACUCGAUCUCGGGGUCGAGUGAUGUGAUCGAGUGAUGGUCAGGUGAUGGAGACGCUCGACCUCGUGGUCGAGUGGUGAGGUGAAGUGGUGAUGUCUUCUACUCGACCUGGGGGUCGAGUGGUGUCUUGAGAUCUUGAAGCUUCUACUCGACCUCUGGGUCGAAUGGUUUGUCAUGAUCAGGUCCGCUUCUUCCAGUUAGCUCGUCAACAGCUCCAAAUCACCUGAAAUCAACACAAAUAUGCAACAUUCAUGCAAACCUAUCCUAAAGA
rnacentral:sRNA from 1 species